rnacentral:tRNA from 1 species
GCCUCGGUAGUGUAGGGCUUCACCUGAAGCGCAAAAUGGUUAGCAUACGAGACUGUCACUCUCGCGACCCGGGUUCGAACCCCGGCCGAGGCG